AAGGCGGAAAUGAAGCAUGAUCUGGCUUGUAUCUGGUGCAUGAAGAAAUGGCUGACACGUUAGUUGCAGUCUACCUCCACCAAUAGGGUGGAAAACAAAGGUCGCCAUCCCGAUUAGCUGCUAUCUCCCAGUUCAAGCACUUUUGCUGUCUGGACACUGGUUCCUGUGGACGGGGUGUUACAAGCUUCACUGUCUGAUAUAGAAGUGAUGAGCAUCCAUAAGGACACAUGCCAGAAAGGGAGUCUCUUCGGGAUGACAAACCCUCAUCACCUCAUGAGGAUACAAUGGUUGACGAAUGGUUCUCAAGC